rnacentral:rRNA from 1 species
UGGUGAGAUAAAAGCUCACCAAGGCAACGAUGCGUAGCCGACCUGAGAGGGUGAUCGGCCACACUGGGACUGAGACACGGUCCAGACUCCUACGGGAGGCAGCAGUAGGGAAUCUUCCGCAAUGGACGCAAGUCUGACGGAGCAACGCCGCGUGAACGAAGAAGGUUCUCGGAUCGUAAAGUUCUGUUGUUAGGGAAGAACACGUACCAUUCAAAUAGGGUGGUACCUUGACGGUACCUAACGAGAAAGCCCCGGCUAACUACGUGCCAGCAGCCGCGGUAAUACGUAGGGGGCAAGCGUUGUCCGGAAUUAUUGGGCGUAAAGCGCUCGCAGGCGGUUUUUUAAGUCUGAUGUGAAAUCUUGCGGCUCAACCGCAAGCGGUCAUUGGAAACUGGAGAACUUGAGGACAGAAGAGGAGAGUGGAAUUCCACGUGUAGCGGUGAAAUGCGUAGAGAUGUGGAGGAACACCAGUGGCGAAGGCGACUCUCUGGUCUGUAACUGACGCUGAGGAGCGAAAGCGUGGGUAGCGAACAGGAUUAGAUACCCUGGUAGUCCACGCCGUAAACGAUGAGUGCUAGGUGUUAGGGGGUUUCCGCCCCUUAGUGCUGGCGUUAA